CAGGAUGAACGCUAGCGGCAGGCUAACACAUGCAAGUCGAGGGGCGAGCGCGGGGUAGCAAUACCCUGGCGGCGACCGGCGCACGGGUGCGUAACGCGUAUGCAACCUGCCCGUAACAGGGGUAUAACGGGGAGAAAUCCCCACUAAUCCCCCAUAUUGUCCUGAUGCCGCAUGGCGUUAGGACGAAAGCCUUGGUGGUUACGGACGGGCAUGCGUGACAUUAGGUAGUUGGCGGGGCAACGGCCCACCAAGCCGACGAUGUCUAGGGGAGCUGAGAGGCAGGACCCCCCACACUGGUACUGAGACACGGACCAGACUCCUACGGGAGGCAGCAGUGAGGAAUAUUGGUCAAUGGGCGGAAGCCUGAACCAGCCAUGCCGCGUGGAGGAAGACGGCCCCCUAUGGGUUGUAAACUCCUUUUGCCGCAGAGUAAUAAGGGCCGUGCGCGGCCUGAUGAGAGUAUGCGGCGAAUAAGCAUCGGCUAACUCCGUGCCAGCAGCCGC
rnacentral:rRNA from 1 species